UACGUAGGGGGCAAGCGUUGUCCGGAUUUAUUGGGCGUAAAGAGCGUGUAGGCGGCUUUGCAAGUCCGUUGUGAAAACUCGAGGCUCAACCUCGAGACGCCGGUGGAAACUGCAAAGCUAGAGUCCGGAAGAGGAGAGUGGAAUUCCUGGUGUAGCGGUGAAAUGCGCAGAUAUCAGGAGGAACACCAGUAGCGAAGGCGGCACUCUGGGCCGUGACUGACGCUGAGACGCGAAAGCGUGGGGAGCGAACAGG
rnacentral:rRNA from 1 species